rnacentral:lncRNA from 1 species
GUUCGGUCGCUGUCUCCAGACCUUUGCAGAUGGAGCAAUCAUGCAGGGUAACUAAUGACCUAGUUUUGGUUUGGUUCAGAACCUGGCUGUCAGAUGGUGUCAUGAUCUCCGGCUUGUAGAGACUGCUACUGAAGGACAGAAGACAGGGCACUAUGAGCCUGCACCCUCUGCUGCUACUGUUUCUGGGGUCCUCUCACAGUGCAUUCACACAGCUGCCUGAUGCAGUGGAAGAGGAAGGAGGUGUGACAGCGUUUCUACCGGAGCCUGUGGAUGACACGUAUUGGUCAGGCACAGCCCCGAUCUGUGUGAGCGGCUGUAAGGGGAGACACCAGGAGCUGAAAAAGGAUCGCUGCGGGGACUCUGACUGCUGCUGGUUUGGCUACAAGUCUUUUUGCAGAGUGAACUGUGGACGGCCUGGUGUGGACUAUAACGGUGUGGUGUACGGGAAUGACUGGUGGGUGGGCUCAGUGGUCAGAUAUGCCUGCCGCUCUGGCUUCCUGUUGAUCGGGGACCAUGUCGGAGCCUGCCAAUCCGAUGGACGCUGGACCCCAAAACCCUCCUGUCUCAGGGUAUGUCAUUGGGGUCGUGUGGAGAUCACUGAGAAGGAGCUAGAAACAUCUACCUGCUCCUCCACCUGUCCCCUCAAGUCCUACACAGGCCCUCCUAAGCUGGGCUGCUUCCGCAUAGACAAUUGCCAGAAGAUGAAUCCCGACUGGAAGCGCUGGUUUACUCGCUGUGACACCUGCCUGUGUGAUUGCCACAUCGCCUGCGCAUCUUUAGGAUAAAAGGACAAAUUCCUCUGUUGAGUGAUUAGAAUGUUUUCCGGAACAAUCAAGGAAUAACAGUGAACAGCUUAACGUCACAGAUCCUAGAUUCAUCAUCGGAAUACUGGUGGCUCAUCUGAUUUGGGGAGAAGGAUCGAAGAAAAACCUAGAGAUCUCUCCGUGGAACUAUCAGUCUGUCGCAAAAGACUACUAAGGCUCCAACCUCAACAACCUCAGUGGGUUAACGUAAAAAGUGGAGGCUCAUAAUAAACUCCCUGACUAUGUGUCAGACUGACGAAAUGUUGUCAUCACAUCAAUGAGCAGCAGUGACAGACGAAAGGGGAGGUCUCUCCUAGUGUACAGGUUCUGUUGGGAUUAAUGACUCAUCCCUUAAGCCAGCCUGCUCUUUCAACAUGCCCAUGAAACCUGGAAUGAGCUGGUUCCGGCGCUCAGACCAUAAUCCUGUUAUCUACCGGAGUUGUUGAGUGAGCCAGGGUAUUAUCUGACAGCAUGUCAAUUAGAAAUGCUUGGAUGGACAUAAAAACAACAACAAUGUGUUUGUGUGUAUUUUGAAAAUACUUUAUUCAUUAAUGUAUGGAAUACAUAAUAUGCUAUGUCAGAGUGUAUUAGUAAAUGACUGGAAGACACUUGUAUAGUUCUUUUUCAUGUUAUACACAUUGGUUAGACUGUAUUGCUUGGAAAAUGCAGAUGGUUAUACGAAGUCUGACCUGACCUGAGUGAACGGUCCUUCCCAUUUUCCAGUUGCAUUCUAUUUAGUCCUCAGGAUGAUGUGUUCAUUUUCUACAGGUCUGUAGAAGCCGAUUCCCGUCAAGACAAACUGUAACCAUGUCAUUCAGUAUUGUCUCCAUUUAUGUUAACAGGCUCUUAUUGCACAUUAAAUGGAUAUAGAAUAGUGAGAGAGCUGAAGAAUGAGAGAAGAUUCAUAAGCAUCCAUUGAACUACAACGUUACCUGUGUCCAGCCUGGUCUGAACCCCAGAGGACUCGGAUAGUACCUCCCAGUAUGUCCGGUCGGACUCCGUCCCAGCCACUGUAGCAGUGAACUGCAAACCUGUGAGGACAAGAUGGAACAGUAGACAGACUUGACUAUCACAACAUGGAUGGAUUGUUUCACAAAACAUUUCAUCAGUAAAGGACCCCACCGCCAUCACCAAAUUACAAAUCCUAAAUCAGAAUAGAGGGAGGGUUGGGUCUAUAAAUGCUAAAUCAGAAUAGAGGGAUGGUUGGAUCUAUAAAUGCUAAAUCAGAAUUGAAAGAUGGUUGGAUCUAUAAAUGCUAAAUCAGAAUAGAGGGAGGGUUGGGUCUAUAUAUCUUAAAUCAGAAUAGAGGGAGGGUUGGGUCUAUAUAUCUUAAAUCAGAAUAGAGGGAGUGUUGGAUCUACAUAUCUUAAAUCAGAAUAGAGGGAGGGUUGGGUCUAUAUAUCUUAAAUCAGAAUAGAGGGAGGGUUGGGUCUAUAUAUCUUAAAUCAGAAUAGAGGGAGGGUUGGGUCUAUAAAUCCUGAAUCAGAAUAGAGGCAGGGUUGGGUCUAUAAAUCCUAAAUCAGAAUAGAGGGAGGGUUGUGUCUAUAAAUCCUUAAUAAACUCAAAGCUAUAUAUUCUCCUUACUCUUGGUGCAGUGAUUAUGUCCCCUAUACCCCUUAAAGCCACUAUUGUCAAAACCCCAUAGGAAAAACCCAAUCCAUAUUUGGGAACACAUGAUGGUAUUCAUGGACAUCAUAUCAUUGUCUUUCCUGUUCCCCAUGGCAAAGGAUCCCUCUUUGGCCCCUUCCAACUCAGAUAAUGCCUUUGAUUGCUUAGGAGUGUGGAAAUACAUACCAAACGGGAUCUAUACUUAGAAAAGGUAGCUAGGUUUUGCAUCAUUGAUGUGCAAUUAUCAUUUAAUAUAUUCGAAAUUAGGCUGUUAUGCAAUAAUGAGAGCCGAAGUAUGAAUAGCUGAUCGUGGCAAUGCACACUAUCGUUCAAAAUGUUGGGGUCACUUACAAAUGUCCUUUUGUCCAUUAAAACAACAUCAAAUUGAAAUACAGCGUAGACAUUGUUAAUGUUGUAAAUCACCAGAGCUAGCUGGAAACGGCUGAUUGUUUAUGGAAUAUCUACACCGAUCAGCCAUAACAUUAUGAGCACUGACAGGUGAAGUGAAUAACACUGAUAAUCCUGUUAUCAUUGCACCUGUCAGUGGGUGGGAUAUAUUAGGCAUCAAGUGAACAUUCUGUCCUC